AAUAGGAGGGUCAAUAAAUGACAAUAAACAGAGGCUCACAAGGUGUUAAUAUCUGUUUUUCCAUUUUUAUCCACUAGAUGGCAGUCUCUAAGCACUAUGACACUAUUUUCUUUUCCACCUACUGUAUAUCCUUUCAACAAAGCUGUUACAUACUGUAUGUAGCCUCCACAACUAACAAACACAGCAAGAAAAGGAAAGACAGCUUAUUUAUAUAGCACAUUUCACACUUGGCUUUCAACAUUAACAUUAACAGGGACUUUUUCUAUGAAUGAUGAAGGAAGUCAAAUAUGUUUAAAAAUGUGUUUUAUUAUAAUAAUUAUUAUUAUUUUAGGUGUAUAGGCAUGCUGCCACAAUACAAGAGAUGUUUUGAGAAAACUGACAGUGAGCUGACAAUAAGUAAUUUAAAAAUCCUUAGUAACAUCCACCCAACUUUUAGCCCUAGGUUUGACAUUUUUUCUUUGGAUUAUUAUGGUGACACAGUGUUUUAAAGGCCCAGGUAGGCACUUUUUUCAGGAAAGAGAACACUACUCAGCAGAUUUUCAUGUAUAACACACAGAGAAAAGUUAAGCAGGCAGUAGCUGGAGUAAUUUCCUUAUUUUCAGCCAUGUGUGCAAAGUUUAGAUGUUGUUAACUACAGGGAACCAUCAUUGUAGAUUAUGAAUUUAGCAUUUUUGUGAAGUACAACUUGGGAUGAAAUAGCAUUGAUAGUGGGGGAUCUUAUGAUUCUGUGUCUGACAUGUAAACAAUAGCACUAACAUGCCAGUAUACACAUACACCUGCAACAAAACCUUAACAUCCUCUUUAUGUAACUGUGAAAAACACAUUCACACAUACAUAGAUUCACAAAA